AAGUGUGCCAUCGCCUCAAUCUUUCAAUUCAACAUUCAGAUGACACCAGAGCAGUUGGAUGUCCUGCUCACAUACUUAGCCUAUGGAUGCUGCAGAAGGUUAUUUGUUAGCUGGUUUGUCUGUUCGUGACAUUGCAGCUCUUUUUGGGGUUGGUGAAAGAACAGUUUGCCAUCGAAUAGCAGGGCAUGGGAUAAGGUGAGUGCACCUGAUAUCUUGCGUCAACAAGACCCCAAACAAAUUGGUGUGUGAAUGUGUCUUGAGGUUAAGGGUAACAUUAGCUGUUUAGAUGUGUAUGUUUUUGUCUGCUACUGUCUUAAAAGCAUGUGGUGACAUCUAGCUGAUGACACUUGCCUUGUCAGGCUUGUUAACUUUGUCUGUAUGAUGAAAUGGCAAUAGUGCAAAGUUAGAUCUAUAACCCGCUCACAGUCUUAUUUGUCUGACAUAUAUGAAAUGUUGUUCUUAAGGUUGUUUCGACUUGUUUAACACCACCAUUGGCAAUGAAGAGUUGGAAGCAAAUUGUGCGUGAAAUCCUCAGUCAUCAUCCAAAUACAGGCUAUAAAAUGAUGUUGGGCCACCUCAACGCUAGAGGUAUACGGAUCGAAUAUCCAGAAAGAGUUCAGAUGCAUACUCUCCAGCUGCAGAAGAUAUUCUGUGCCAGCUCCAAACAGUUUGUGGCAUAUAGAUGGCAACCAUAAACUCAUUAGGUAACCAAACAGGUCUCCAAGCCAUUGUUAAAACCAGCGCCAAAGUCACUGGUGUGACGCUCUGUAUCCAGGCCUCGUUCUACAAGCAAACCCUCAUCAUCUUGGGGGACGUCACCCAUCCCUUCCAUUCACAGUUGAAGUCAUGCCACUGGGGUGGCGCCUGCGCUGCAUUAAGUGCUCUACUAACCGCCACAGAGCAACGUUUAUGCCAGAGGUUUAUUCAACAAGCUGGACGAUGAUCAAGAUGUAUUUGUUAUAUAUUUAUUACUAAUUCACUCAUCAUGUCUAUUUGCAUUACUGUCUUGAAGACUUUGCACUUGUGCAAUGUGUAAAGCCACUGUAAAAUGUCAGUCGAAGAAAAAAGAACACGUCGAUCCAGUGAUUGAAGAGUGCAGAUUCUUUUAACUAUGUUAGAUGGGACCUUUACUAUUCCAGUAAACGAAACAAUGGAAUUUCUUUAUUACAGAUGGCGAUUUGUAGUUCAUGGUGGCAUUGACGGUUUUAGCCGUCUAAUCGUGUACCUCAGCGCCGCCUCAACAGUGCUGAAUAGCUUCCUUGGAGCAGUCUAUGGAGUGCAAUCACACGUUAGGUCUGACGAAGGAGGAGAAAAUGUUCAAGUGGCACACUUCAUGGUGUCCACCAGAUGCCUAAACAGGGAAUUCCCAUCUCACUGGUAGAAGUACACACAACCAGAGGAUAGAACGAUUGUGGAGGGAUGUCUUUGGAGGAGUGUUGGACCUCUUCUAUACUUCUAUCUGCAACCUGGAGAGGGAGGGUCUACUCAACCUAGAUGAAGAGAUCCACAUCUAUGCCCUCCACUGGAGCUUCCUUCCACAAAUCCAAAAGCACCUGCAGUUCUUCAAGGACGGCUGGAACCACCAUCGACUGCGCUCUGAGGGGAAUCAGUCACGACUGCAGCUAUGGAUUCAGAAUCAACGUGAGGGAUAUCAUGACCCGUCCAGGUUGACAUGGAAUACGGCAUUGACUGGGGAGGUCCUUAUGGUCACCAUCAUGAAGGAGUCACAGUCCCUGAGGUUCAGCUUCCACGGCCAUUGACUGGCAUGGAAGUGCACACAUUGCCAGAGGUUCUUUUUCCAGUGUCUAUAGUGAGACAGUUGCCAUAUUAUCAGAUAUAAUUGGAGAUGUUUAAAAGCCCGGGUCUGAGAAUUGAAUUGAUUUUAGUAUUUGGAUUAGUCGCACUAUGUCCAAGAGAAUUUCAAGUGCUGAUAGAUUCCAUGUAACAGCAAAUGCUGUUUGAGCUGUUUUGGCAGUUCUCACUGAGUCAUUCACACUGAGGGCAGGUCGGAGUCUGGGAGUCCCCCAUCUGGGGUGCAAUUGACUGCAAAUAACAUGCAAUUGACUGAUAAGCCAUCUAUUAUGAUACAAACAAACUGAUUUCUGACAAAAAAAAUAAGUUGGCUUUAGCUAAAGAAGGUUAUUUACAAAAACAAUGGUAAUUUGAACAAUUGAGUGCCACUCAUUCAAACUCAUCAUUCAACAAGCAAAACACUGCAAUAAGAAACUACAAGCUGAACGGUGAGUCAAGAUGGUCCUCUGUAAAAUGUGUUGUAUAUGGCUGAUUUAGUUCCAAAGCAUUUUACCUCCCAAAAGAAUGAGUGAAUGUGACGUAAAAUCAAUCAUUGAUUGUCUGACAACUUGUCUAGCUUGUAUUCAUUUGCCGAAGUGCUUUACUUUAGAUGCUGUUCUGUGAAAACUGUCAUCAGCAUUUUUGAGUUUGUCUUUGAAAAUCGGGAUUUAAAUCCAAAGGACAACAAGGAGGAAGCAUGGUAAACAAACAUUACUGAUGUUUACUUGUGGAGCCUUUAGAAAAGGGUGUUCAAUAACCGCUCAAUUCUGUUCUUUAAUUUGAAUUUGUACAGUUUGCCCUGUCACCAUUGACUGUCUCAGUAAAACUGAGGUGAGAAACGGUCAAUAAUAAGACAUGCUGCUGUCUUUUACACUAGUGAGCAGACAGACCGUCUGAGCAGUUCAACUAAAGAGUAUAACUAAAAGUGUCACUUCAACUUCAGCUGAAUGUAUUCUUCAUGACUGUUUCAAAAAAUGUCUUUCUGGUGAUGUACGUCUAACUACCAAUCAUGAGACAAGCAAAUUCAAAAUACCACCCUCCCAACGACCAUCACGCACUGUAAUGACCAUUGUACCGGCACCCCCCUGUAUAUAUUGUUAUUUUUUUUUA